GUGCAAUGAUGAUGCUAUUCCCAUAUUCGCAGUUUCCGCCAGAGGGCUUCCUGAUGAUGGCUAAUUCUUCCUUGGAUGUCUGAGCAC